GAAUCACCCACCUGGUGUCCCAGGUCUAAAUUAGGCCCUGAUUAGAGGGGAAUCACCCACCUGGUGUCCCAGGUCUAAAUUAGGCCCUGAUGAGAGGGGAAUCACCCACCUGGUGUCCCAGGUCUAGACCCUGAUGAGAGGAGAAUCACCCACCUGGUGUCCCAGGUCUAGACCCUGAUGAGAGGAGAAUCACCCACCUGGUGUCCCAGGUCUAGACCCUGAUGAGAGGGGAACAGUGGCGCUGACUUGGAGCUCCAUGGUCCUAGAGGUCAUAGCUGUUCUACAUGUUAUUCUAUGGGUUUAAUCAGCCAGGAUCAGCUGUUUUCAUCUCCAGUGUGUUUUGCUGUACAGCAGGUUUCUCAAACUCGGUCCCGGGGCCCCUCUUGGGUACACGUUUUGGUUGUUGUCCUAGCACGACACAGCUGACUCAAAUAAUCAAAGCUUGACGAUGAGUUGGUUAUUUGAAUCGGCUAUGUUGUGCUAGGACAACAACUAAAAUAUGUGUACACACACACACAUAUGUCUGCCCUUGUUUGUGCGGUGUAGUAUAUAUAUAUAUAUAUAUAUAGGGCUAAAGGAGAUCUGUUGGAUCAUGUAGCAACAACCAGCUUAUAAAAAUCAUUGAAUCAUGUUGAUGAGACAGGUCCUUCUGAGGAGACACAGACCUCUCUGCUCCUACAUGUUGAUGAGACAGGAACCUCUCUGCUCCUACAUGUUGAUGAGACAGGAAUCUCUCUGCACCUACAUGUUGAUGAGACAGGAACCUCUCUGCUCCUACAUGUUGAUGAGACAGGAACCUCUCUGCUCCUACAUGUUGAUGAGACACGGACCUCUCUGCACCUGCACUCCUGCACAGAAAAAUAUCUUUCAUCACGGACCACCUCGUUAGAUCAUUGAGCUGAGCCAGAGACUGGGCUAUCUCUCUGCUAAAUCACAAUGUUUAUUAAAUCAUUGUGUCCAGAGUUGUUUAUCUCUCGUUAUCGCUCCCUGUUGGUAUGUGGUGGGGGGAGGAGAGGGAGAGUGCGGCUCUUUAACACUAAUGUGGGUAUAUCUCUGUUGUUUACAGUAGCCUGGGGAGGGAAGGAUGUUACAUGUAGGAAGCAGCCUGGGGAGGGAGGGAGGUUACACUGAAAGGCGAGAGGAAAGAAGUAGCACAUGCCACACCUCCCUGUCACUCAGUGGUCGCUAUGGAGCCUGCCGUGGUUGCCAUGGUGUUGUCGGGGAGGGGCAGUAGGAGAAUUUAAAGGAGACAGAAGAGUGACAUCAUACUCUCUGUCAGCUCCAGGGCUUUAUCAUUGACGUGAAGCGUUCAGAACGUUGCAGAUAGAAAUAGAUUAACUAGAGCUGGAACGACUCCCUGUUCUACAUAACAGACCUGACCAUGUUUGUUCUACACAAUACAUUUCUACAUCCUGAGAUGGUGGAGGCUGAUUUAAAAGACAUUCUCGCUCUCAAGGGGCUUUAUUGGCACGGGAAACAUGUUUACAAGUGAGAAAUAUUAAACAAAAGUGAGAAGGCAAAACAUCAACAACAAAAAAACGAUUUGAAUUUAACAGUAAACAUUGCACUCAAAAAGGUUUUUACAAAAAUAUCAACAUUUCAAAUAGUCCAUGUUUGAUUUUUCUUUUCCAAUUCUUUGUGUUUCUGUGUGAAAUAUGUAUCUGUAAUGUGGUUAUACAUUUAGCAUGAGGUCAGGAAGUGCAGCUCAGUCUCUCACUCUCAGGGCUCUGGCAGACAAAGAUCACGGACACUGCUGAUACUCUUAGACACACACAUUGUGUAAAUGGUGCUGUCACUACACACACAGACGACAUGUAUGCAUCAGGUGCAUGUUGUAUGGACCAGGUCACAGAGGUUAUAGUUCAGGGUUCAACCUCCUUUCUGUUUCUCCUUCACUCAACGACACUGUCAGGGUUUUUAUUUUGACUUAUUCCUUCCUUUUUUCUUCCUUUUUUUAUAGAAAUGUUUUUUUUUUAAUAGCUUUUUGUUACUCAAGACGAGAGGUUUUUAAAAGCAUAAAUUAAGGUGACGAUGUGUUUAUAGCGUUAAAGGUGGUGAUGUGUGUGUAUAGCGCUAACGGUGGUGAUGUGUGUGUAUAGCGCUAACGGUGGUGAUGUGUGUUGUAGGCCGUUUCAGCAUGAUGGAAUCACAUGAAACUGUUUCAACACUGAGAUGAAGACCUACUGUUAACCGGUGAGCUGUAAUAAAAUAUUAACUGAACCUUUAUGUUCCUCACAUUUCUGUCCUGUUGUGUCGGUGUACACUGCUACACACCACAUUCCCUCUCCCCAGCAGUGUGUGUGUGUAUGUGGUAUGGAAUGGUGGGUUGGGUUGGGUGGGCAACUGACCCUCACAGCCCCUCCUUAUAACGCAGCUGCUCUGCCCGUGUAGGCACGUACUCAGCUGUGUGCACCGUGAGAUCCUGCUGAGUCUCUAUAUGGUCAGCAGGAUAAAACGUAUUACUGAGUUCAGAGCACGGACAUGUCUUAAGUGCCAAGCGCCUUGUAGAACGUUAGUCUUAACUACCAAGCGCCUUGUAGAACGUUAGUUAGUCUUAACUACCGAGCCCCUUGUAGAACGUUAGUCUUAACUGCCAAGCCCCUUGUAGAACGUUAGUCUUAACUGCCAAGCCCCUUGUAGAAUGUUAGUCUUAACUGCCGAGCCCCUUGUAGAACGUUAGUCUUAACUGCCAAGCCCCUUGUAGAACGUUAGUCUUAACUACCGAGCGCCUUGUAGAACGUUAGUC
rnacentral:lncRNA from 13 species